GAUGAACGCUGGCGGCGUGCCUAAUACAUGCAAGUCGAGCGAACGGACGAGAAGCUUGCUUCUCUGAUGUUAGCGGCGGACGGGUGAGUAACACGUGGAUAACCUACCUAUAAGACUGGGAUAACUUCGGGAAACCGGAGCUAAUACCGGAUAAUAUUUUGAACCGCAUGGUUCAAAAGUGAAAGACGGUCUUGCUGUCACUUAUAGAUGGAUCCGCGCUGCAUUAGCUAGUUGGUAAGGUAACGGCUUACCAAGGCAACGAUGCAUAGCCGACCUGAGAGGGUGAUCGGCCACACUAGAACUGAGACACGGUCCAGACUCCUAAGGUAGGCAGCAGUAGGGAAUCUUCCGCAAUGGGCGAAAGCCUGACGGAGCAACGCCGCGUGAGUGAUGAAGGUCUUCGGAUCGUAAAACUCUGUUAUUAGGGAAGAACAUAUGUGUAAGUAACUGUGCACAUCUUGACGGUACCUAAUCAGAAAGCCACGGCUAACUACGUG
rnacentral:rRNA from 1 species